CCGCAAUCCAUGAACCAGUUUAGUAGCCCUUCUCUGAACCCUCUCUAAGGUAUCAAUAUCCUUCUGAAGAUACGGUCUCCAGUACUGUGUACAAUACUCCAAGUGAGGUCUCACCAGUGUUCUGUACAAUGGCAUGAGCACUUCCCUCUUUCUACUGCCAAUACCUCUCCCUAUACAACCAAGCAUUCUGCUAGCAUUUCCUGCUGCUCUAUUACAUUGUCUGCCUACCUUUAAGUCAUCAGAAAUAAUCACCCCUAAAUCCCUUUCCUCAUAUGUUGAUGUUAGGACUCUAUCAAAUAUUUUGUACUCUGCCCUUGAGUUUUUACGUCCAAGAUGCAUUAUCUUGCACUUAUCCACAUUAAAUGUCAG